CCUACGGGUGGCAGCAGUGGGGAAUAUUGGACAAUGGGCGAAAGCCUGAUCCAGCGACGCCGCGUGGGUGAUGAAGGCCUUCGGGUUGUAAAGCCCUGUGGGCAGGGAAGAAAACGUUGCGGUCGAAUAGGCCGCGACCUUGACGGUACCUGCUCAGAAAGCACCGGCUAACUCUGUGCCAGCAGCCGCGGUAAGACAGAGGGUGCAAACGUUGCUCGGAAUUACUGGGCGUAAAGCGCGUGUAGGCGGGUCGGAAAGUCGGGCGUGAAAGCCCCAGGCUCAACCUGGGAACUGCACUCGAAACUCCCGGUCUUGAGUGGUGGAGAGGGAAGUGGAAUUCCUGGUGUAGAGGUGAAAUUCGUAGAUAUCAGGAGGAACACCAGUGGCGAAGGCGGCUUCCUGGACACCAACUGACGCUGAGACGCGAAAGCGUGGGGAGC
rnacentral:rRNA from 1 species